rnacentral:rRNA from 1 species
GAUGAACGCUGGCGGCGUGCCUAAUACAUGCAAGUCGAGCGGGGAAAGCUUUCGGGUGAGUACUAGUGGCGCACGGGUGAGGAACGCGUGGAUAAUCUGCCUUAGAGUGGGGGAUAACUAGUCGAAAGAUUAGCUAAUACCGCAUAAGACCACGGGAACCGAGGUUCUAGAGGUCAAAGGUUUUUCGCUCUAAGAUGAGUCCGCGUAAGAUUAGCUAGUUGGUGAGGUAACGGCUCACCAAGGCGACGAUCUUUAACUGGUCUGAGAGGAUGAUCAGUCACACUGGAACUGAGACACGGUCCAGACUCCUACGGGAGGCAGCAGUAGGGAAUAUUGCACAAUGGAGGAAACUCUGAUGCAGCGACGCCGCGUGAGCGAUGAAGGCCUUCGGGUCGUAAAGCUCUGUCGCAGGGGAAUAACACAAUGAAGGUACCCUGUAAGAAAGGAUCGGCUAACUUCGUGCCAGCCGCCGCCGUAA